AUUGAACGCUGGCGGCAGGCCUAACACAUGCAAGUCGAGCGGAGCGGCGGACGGGUGAGUAAUGCCUAGGAAUCUGCAUGGUAGUGGGGGAUAACGUCCGGAAACGGGCGCUAAUAACGCAUACUAUUAGAUGAGCCUAGGUCGGCUUAGCUAGUUGGUUGGGUAAAGGCCUACCAGGGCGACGAGCCGUAACUGGUCUGAGAGGAUGAUCAGUCACAGUGGAACUGUGACACGGUCCCGACUCGGACGGGAGGCACGAGUGGGGAAUAUUGGACAAUGGGCGAAAGCCUGCUCCAGCCAUGCCGCGUGUGUCAGGAAGGUUUUCGGAUUGUAAAGCACUUUAAGUUGGGAGGCGUUACCAACAGAAUAAGCACCGGCUAACUUCGUGCCAGCCGCCGCGGUAAUUC
rnacentral:rRNA from 1 species